rnacentral:rRNA from 1 species
UACGUAGGGCGCAAGCGUUGUCCGGAAUUAUUGGGCGUAAAGAGCUUGUAGGCGGUUUGUCGCGUCUGCUGUGAAAUUUCGGGGCUCAACCCCGAACUUGCAGUGGGUACGGGCAGACUAGAGUGUGGUAGGGGAGACUGGAAUUCCUGGUGUAGCGGUGAGAUGCGCAGAUAUCAGGAGGAACACCGAUGGCGAAGGCAGGUCUCUGGGCCGAUACUGACGCUGAGGAGCGAAAGCGUGGGGGAGCGAACAGG